AAAAAAAGCAGGCUAAUGCCGCUACAAGGCAGCACUAGCAUCCGCAAAGUGGAAAGGGAAUAAUAUAAGUUGAAAAACUUGUUUCCAGAUCCACUAUAAAUAAAUAAGAUUAUACUAAACUUUCAUAGAAUUGACUAUUUUCUGACAUUAGUGAAAGAGAGGCGAAAGAUAACAAAGGGGCAUUCAAACUUAUCUGACAUGACUAAAAAGGAAAAAGAACAGCAAACAUACUGACAAAGAAAACAUCAC
rnacentral:lncRNA from 1 species